GAUAAUUUAAGUUUAUUGCCCUUCUGCUACUGAGAAGAAAAGCCUGAACAGGGUUAAUAGCCUUCCCCCAAGGCUACAUGAUCCAUUGUGAUACAGAGAGAAUGAGAGUUCAAAUUAAGGAUGACCCUCUAAAGGAAAACCUAUCCAAUCUGCCCUACACUCCAUUUGUACAUAUCAGCAGUUUGCAAAUUCUUCACCAGUUUCAUCAAGAAAACGGACAUGGAAUAAAAACUCCUCUGGAAGCUCAAAGCUCACUAAACUUUCUUCCUAAAAUAUACCACUGAUAGAGUUUCAAUCAAAAAAGCAAAAGUCAUCAAGGACCCUGGACAGCGCACGAUCCCAGGUGGACUUCCAGGAUGAAUUGGUGAUCAAGUCUCCUCUACUGGACUUGAGCAGGGGCUGCUGCUGUUGCUGUUGCUACUGCUGUUGCUUCUGCUUCUUCUGCUGCUGCUGCUUUCUCACUCCGGAGGCUGAAACGCUGUCAGAUUGGAGGGAUCUGUAUCUCAGCCCUAAAUAAAGCAUUCAUUUGGUU